UACCAUGCGGUUUCCUGAAUGCGCUUAACACAAGUGCGCCUCACCUUCUCGGCGGCGAGGGGUGCACAGAGCUGAAUCCCAGGCAGCCACACAGAGACAGACACAAGCGCGUUGAUGUGUAUCAACGUUGACUCUUCACGCCUGAGAGUCUUUCAUUGCUUGGCGCACCAUCCGCUCCUAAACGGAGUGCCAUGCACGCCCAGUAGGCCCACCAAAGCGAUCGCUGCAGGAACUGAGCGGUGCGCUGCUACGAAUCCACUGCGCCUGCCAACGUUUCUGGAAACGUCACAGGAAAUAUAUACUCUCAUGCGCGUAUGUGUCUGCGAGAGGGCCUGCUCCGCUCGCGAUGACGGACAGCCCUCCCCCCUCUGUGGGCGGUAUAAACAGGGUCCGGUGCUCGCACUCUCUGUGCGGGAGAAGCCAGUCGACCACCCAGCCCCUGCCCCUCUCCCUGCCGAUGCCGAGCCCCUCCCCCCCUCCCUGCUGGUGGUGUCAGGGGGAGGCACCCACCUAGGUAGGGAUGCCAGAGCGAUGUGUGGCUGCUGAUGUCGGUGGUCGUGUCCUGGGGCGGCGUUGCGUCGGCGCGACCCGCGACCGUGGGCACGUCUGUGGCAUCCAUAUGAGAAUAGGCAAAGCAUCAGGGUGACUCGAAGGUACCUCACCCCUACCCCCGACCCACACACGCCCCACACCGGUGUGGGGAGGCUGAGCCACCGCGAGGGGGGGGGCGGGGAGGGAUGCGCGAGGUGGCGUCUGGGCAUCACAUGAGCGGCUGCGAGGCGACCUGCGGGGGCCGAGGUGUGAGUGGACAGAGUAUGAGGCCGAGGCGGUGCUCCGAUGAUCGGGCCGGCGCGCUGGUGUAGCGCGCGUGUGUCUACGGCUGCAUGGGCACCACACACGGGACGGGUCUGUGGCAGGCCGGAGAGGGCCGGGAGGGUAGAGGGACGUUUGACUCCUGCUCUAUUGCAGCAUGCAUAUACGG
rnacentral:misc_RNA from 1 species